UUGAGAAAGAGAGCGAGACACACACACAGAGAAUAUGAGAAUCCUCUGAGUCUGCAAUACCCAGGCAUCCAGCAGCUGAGCUAGAGGUGAUGAAGACAUUCUCUGCAUCAUGAGAAGUGGACCGAUGACCUCAUAUUUUCAGCACAGAAGGACUAUUGCAGAGUCAAAAAUAUCAACUGAGCACUCACUUGACACUGUAUGCUGCGUUUGAGCUGAGAGAUGGCAAUGCAAAGAAAGCCC